rnacentral:lncRNA from 1 species
GGCUUCGCUCCUGGGGAGCCAGAAGCAUGGAAUCAGAUGCCAAGAGGAUUAGGCCACCAACUUUGGCGUGUGCUCUUCGGGCCUGCCGUCUAACAGAAUGAGGGUUCCAGCGGUGUUCGCAUCAUCAGACGUCUAGUGUUCUGCACAUAAAACAAGCUCUUGAGGUCAGGAGACAACAUGCAAUCUAGCAGGCAGGUAGCUCGUGAAGCGUCUCAUCUCCCAGCAUAACAAGUGCUUCUCCAUCCAUAUGUACAGAAUUCCACUCUCCAGGUGGGAACGUUGUGAUGGAAUACGCUCUGAGAGAUAGAGGAGGCGACUUCUGCCAGGAGUGAUCAGGAGGACUUCUUGGAGGAGGCAGCACUUGAGCUGGUCUUGAAAGAUGAUGAGAUUUUAAUGGGAAAAGAGAUGAUCGAGAAGAACCUUCUAGCAGGAGGGAGCUGCCCUAGCAAAGACAGGAAGGCUGGAAAAUGCGAGAAGUGGGACAGGAAGAUCAACACAGGACCUCUCCCUUCUGAGCCAAACUGACACCUACCUCUUGCCAUGACAGGCCGCUCUUCUGGAGAUUAUAAACUAUUUAUUUUUAACAGAGAAACUGCCUUAGUUGGAGUUCUGGCUCUGCCACUUACUUAGGUAAGAAAGAACUUCUUGGGCCUCAGGCCCUCACCUGUAAAAGGGGCUGAAUAAUAGGAUUGUGCCUCUCUCCAAUGGGCUGUUAGAGGUUGGACUGCAUGCCCCCAAUACUCUUAUGCUGAGGCCUAACCCGGUGUGACUGCACAUGGAGACAGGGUGUGUAGGGAGGGGAUGAAGCUUAAGUGAGGCCACAGGGGAGGCCCAACCCUGUAGAGUCGUGUCUUUAUAAGGAGUGAAAGAGACACCAUUGCUUGCUUCUCUCCUGUGGGCAGAGGAAAGGCCAGGUGAGGACACAGGCAGGAGGUGCCCCCGCAGCCUCAGGCAGAGCCCUCACCACGCCAGCCCUGCUGACGCCUUGAUCUUGGACUCCCAGGCGUCUGCUGCAUAAGCCACCCCGUCCGACGUACUUUCCCAUGGCAGCUUGAGCAGAAUGAGACUGGGGCUUUGGAAGAAGGAACUUCACAUGUGAGGAGCUUGGAGAGUGGGACGUGCCAUGUGUGCACAUGUGCUGCUGGUGGUUGGUGUUAUUGUUAUUAUCAGGAGUGGCGUAUUCCCAGCCUCUGGAAGCUCACCUCGUGGUUUUCUUUCUUCUUCCACUUUUCGUUUUUUAGAUCAUGUCUGCCCUUAGCCUGACAUCCCCGCCAUGUAGGGCUCCAGGACUGCUGUGGCCUCAGCCCUUCCGGGCUCCAGGAGGCCCUGAUUCAUUGCUCUCCCCUCCCCCCUUGGCUGGCCUAGGUGCCUUGUCCUCUUUCUUGGGACGGUGCUCACUGACGGGCCCCAUGGGAGGAGGGAGACACGGCCAGCUGCCAUGCGGGAACAGCUGCCACAGCAUCGCCUCCUCCAGACAUUGCUCACCACCCCUGGCUUUCCUGAGCUUCUCACCAGCCCUGGUGGAAGUGAGCAAACAUGAUUACUUAUUCUUGUCUUCCCCAUCAGGAGGCCAGGGUGGGGGAAAGGCAGUGUGCCACUGAGUUGUUGGUCCUCUAACUUAGUGCUGGUCGCCCGCAUGUGCUCUAGGGCCUCGGGGCACGGUGCUGGGACAGCUCAGCUGGCAGACCUAGGACAGGGCUGGAAGGUGGGGGGCAGGGCUGGGGUCAGAACUUUUCUCCCUUCUUCCCUCCGGACUCAGGGAGGUCCCUUGGGCAAAUUCCUUGUCCAGACAGAGAUGUGUGGGGCGAGAGACACUCAGUCUCCUUAGGAGCAGUGAGCAGCGGGGGGCCCAAGACAACAGCCCCCUGUGGCCGCCUCCAGCCCCAGGACAGUGGCCUGAGCCCUGGGUCACCAUGCUCACUCCACCCAGCGCAGAAUUCUCCAGCGCCCAGCCUUGCAGAGGCAACGCGGCUCCGACAGGACCUGUAACCUCUUCCUGCCGCUUCUUUGUCAUGCAACCAGCCCUUCCCUCCAAAUCUUUCAAAAUCCUCUUCCCCAGGGGUCACUGCCCUGAUCUUCGGAGCAGGCUGUGGACAUGGACUCACUCUGCUGAGCUCUUCCUCCUCUGUGUACCGAGGCCACAGCCCCCACUCCGAUCCCCCACGCAGCCUCUGCCUGCGCUUUUGUCCCUUGUCCUUACCUUUAUCAAGCUCAAGGGACCCCGUAACCGCACGCCCUCCUCAGGGCCUUUUCAUUGGAAUUCCCACACUCUCUGCAUUUCUGAAGGACUGGUUGAAACCGCAGCGUUCUUCUAAGUGGUGAGCUCCCCGAGUGAAUCAAAAUCACACUUGAUUCCCCCAAAAUCCCAUUUGUCAGGAGUGCGGCUGCUGCAGAAAGUGUCUCUGGAGCUUGGGAAGCAGGCGCGGGGCCACUCUAAACUCUCCUGUGCUCAUCACGCGCCCUUUCUGCAUCCUGCGGGCACGUUGGUCGGACCCUGUCGAUAUCAAACGGUGAUCACUGUUAAUGAAUGGCACUGUUCCCACACAGGACCUCUAAUUACUACUGCGUUCUUAUGAGGAGUGCCUUGUGCUUUGCAGCAUCUAACGUCUUGGUAGUGACCUGCCAGUGCCUGUCCAACCUGUCAGCAGAUCACGGUCGCGAACCCUGGGAGAGAGGUCGGCGCUGCCUCAGGUCUGAAAUGAUGUCUUCUCUUUCCUGUUUUCUGAGCAGCUCAUUCUGCUGCCCGUCAAAUAGGCCCUUUCCCCAGGACCCUUGGGGUCCAGCUGAGUGGAGCAGCCUCCCACACUGGAAGCCUUGAGUUUUCCCCACCUGGGCCUUUCUCUCUGUCCCUGACAUCCGGUUGGUCACCAGAUCCUGGCAGUUGAAAGUCAUUCUCAAGUCCAGCCCCACCACUGCACCUCGGUCCAUGCUCCUGGACACCAGUCUCUCACCGAGCGCUAUGCGUGGCUUGCGUCUGCGGCUGAGAAAUCCUUUCAAACGCACGCCUUCCCUAUUAUAUCCAGCAUAGGAUCUGACCCGGCAGGACCUCAGUAAAGACUUGUGGCUGCUUUAAGAGUGGGCACCUGCCGUCACAUUUUCCUCAGCAUUUUCCCUAUGCUGCUGGCGCAUUGGGUAGCUCUACUCAACCCAUGACGGAUUGCAGAUCUUUUGGCCGCUGCAUUCACAAAUUUGUCCCGAGCCGCUCCAUGGAAGGCAUCCCAGAAGCCUAUCAAUCUUCCCAUGAGUGUUCAAGAUUCCCAAAUCCCCAAAAGGCCCUAAUACCAUCUCUGUGUGAGCAGCUGCCCAUGUGUUGGGGAGUGCCCUGCCUGAGGCAGAGGGCGCACUGCAUCUGUUUGGAGGUGGGUGAGCCUCACGUGUUCUGCACAGGGCAUGAGGUAGGCAUUGGAGAGCAGCCCUGGCCCCCCCACCCAGGGGACAGUAGGUGGGGUUCUAAAUUAUGAGUCAUUAAUCAGCUCUUCAUAUGUCUGAAUUAUUCAUAAAGUAAGUGCUUGUGGUUUGGAUGCUAGUCUAUGAAUAUAUAGGCAAAUUAUUUAUUAUGGCAUUUACAUGGAUUUUGCAAAAAAGUUUUCCAGAAACCCUUUAGGUUCAGUGGUUGAAUUUAACAAAUAUUUCCUGUGCACCUACUCUAUGACAGAAAUUGUGAUUGGCGUUAAAGACAUAAAGAUGAAUAGGAUAAUAAGCACCUGCCUUCAGUGUGCUCUGGGUUAGCAGGGAGAACACACAAUCCAGCUGGUCCACAGAGGCUGACUUAUUAACAACAUUUAUCACAGCAUGUGGGAAAUAUGAGCUAACUGUAUUUCAGAUAGUAACAUGACCACGCCAAAACCAAACCAAAUCAAAACAAGGCAAGAAACCAAACCAACAAACCAACCCCACCACCACAACAGAAACUAACCCAAGUAACAUUGAACACGGAACCUUGACCUAUAACCCUUGUCCUGCAGACAAAAUACCUGCAAACAAAUAUUGAACUUGACUUGUGGGUUUGCUUUCACUGUGGUGCAAGGUAGCAAUUCUGUAAUGAUUUUCUGUCUUGUAGGGUUGAGCAAAUACAAGAUUCCACCAGUGCUGUUGGAAGCCAGCGUUCUUGUUUUUGGAAAGGGGACAUUUUCUUUCUUUCUCUUAUUUUUUUCCCUCCCUCCCUCCCUCCCUCCCUCCCUCCCUCCCUUCCUUCCUUUCCGUCAAAGCACUUACAAUCUUCUCACAUACUAUACAAUUUACUUAUUUAUUGUGUUCCCCAUUUGGUGUCUGUCUUCCCCCCGGGGGCAGGGCUCUUUGCUGCUUCAUCCAAUAUGUGUUCACGAUCUGAGUGCCUGCAAUAGUAGGCAUGUGCUUAUCUAGUGAAUGAUGGGCAAUGGUGGUGGAGAUGCAGAUUAGGACCAGGUCAUGGGGAGUACUGGAUUACGAAAGUGAACACAUUUGGAUUUCAGCCUGUUGGAAAAUGAGAUGAUGCUGGAAGUGGUGAAGGGGCUGCAACAUGAUGAGAG